CCAAUAGCGUAUAUUAAAGUUGUUGCAGUUAAAAAGCUCGUAGUUGAAUUUCGGGAUUAGUACGUUGGUCGUGCCUUGGUACGUACUGGUGUAACUGAUUCCUCCCUUCUGACGAACCGUUAUGCCAUUAAUUUGGUGUGGCGGGAAAUCAGGACUGUUACUUUGAAAAAAUUAGAGUGUUUAAAGCAGGCUCGCGCUUGAAUACAUUAGCAUGGAAUAAUGAAAUAGGACGUUAAUCCUAUUUUGUUGGUUUCUAGGAUCGACGUAAUGAUUAAUAGGGAUAGUUGGGGGCAUUAGUAUUCAAUUGUCAGAGGUGAAAUUCUUGGAUUUAUUGAAGACUAACUACUGCGAAAGCAUUUGUCAAGGAUGUUUUCAUUAAUCAAGAACGAAAGUUAGGGGAUCGAAGACGAUCAGAUACCGUCGUAGUCUUAACCAUAAACUAUGCCGACUAGGGAUCGGAUGAUGUUAAUUUUUUAAUGACUCAUUCGGCGCCUUACG
rnacentral:misc_RNA from 1 species